rnacentral:tRNA from 1 species
UCCCUGGUGGCUCAGAUGGUAGAGAAUCUGCCUGCAAUGCAGGAGACCCAGGUUCGAUCCCUGGGUUGGGAA